GAUGAACGCUGGCGGCGUGCCUAAUACAUGCAAGUCGAGCGAACCACUUCGGUGGUGAGCGGCGAACGGGUGAGUAACACGUAGGUUAUCUGACCAUCGGACGGGGACAACGAUUGGAAACGACCGCUAAUACCGGAUAGGACGAAAGUUUAAAGGUGCUUCGGCAACACUGAUGGAUGAGCCUGCGGCGCAUUAGCUAGUUGGUAGGGUAAAGGCCUACCAAGGCGACGAUGCGUAGCCGACCUGAGAGGGUGAACGGCCACACUGGGACUGAGACACGGCCCAGACUCCUACGGGAGGCAGCAGUAGGGAAUCUUCGGCAAUGGGCGAAAGCCUGACCGAGCAACGCCGCGUGAAUGAUGAAGGCCUUCGGGUUGUAAAAUUCUGUUAUAAGGGAAGAAUGGCUUUAGUAGGAAAUGGCUAGAGUGUGACGGUACCUUAUGAGAAAGCCACGGCUAACUACGUGCCAGCAGCCGCCGUAA
rnacentral:rRNA from 1 species